AUGACCAGCAUUGCUCUGUGUUUGCCCGCAGUGUUCCCCAUGGCCGGAGUUCCCUGCAAGGCCCUGGCCACCUCUCAGCUUUCUGGCUCUGACCUCCCCCGACUCCUGCAGCCUCCUGUCCCCAGAAAGGUGAGGCAGGAUGAGCACCUCCUGUCAGCCCUUUGGGGUGAGAGUGAAGAAAAGAGCUCCCAGCCCAGGCAUAGAGCAAAGGGCAGGGCUGAGGAUUGGUGGGGAAUGUAUGGGGUGAGGACAAGAGCAAGCUGUGUCCCAGGGCAGGCCUGGAGGAAGGGUGUUGGUGGAGGGAGACUGGCCAAAACGCUCUGCAGAGUCCUUGAACCUUUGCUCCUCCUCACAGGCUCUGUUCCUCACCGCCAUUUGCUCUGGACACCUUGGGGUGUAGCCCAGUUGAGGUCCAUCCGUCACCGACUGGCUUUGUAUGUGGCUCAGGAGGCCUCUAGGCAAGAGAACGAGGUUCCUAAGAACCCUGACUCAGGUGGUCCAGAAUUUUAAGGACAAAUCAUACUUUGUGGCUGUGGUGAAAAAAG
rnacentral:lncRNA from 1 species